GAACGCGUAGCGGCAGGCUUAAUACAUGCAAGUGAGGGGCGAGCAUGAUAUACGCGAGUAUAUUGAUGGCGACCGGCGGACGGGUGAGUAAUAGGUAGGAGACCUACCUCAUACAGGGGGAUAGCAUAGAGAAAUCUGUGGUAAUACCCCAUGAGGUUAUAUGAAUAGAGGCAUAUAAUCAAAGCAUAAGCGAUUAUGCGGUAUGAGAGGGGCCUACUGACCAUUAGCUAGUUGGUGAGGUAAGGGCUCACCAAGGCGAAGAUGGUUAGGGGUUUUGAGAGAGAGACCCCCCCACAUUGGAACUGAGAGACGGUCCAGACUCCUACGGGAGGCAGCAGUAGGGAAUAUUGGGCAAUGGGCGAAAGCCUGACCCAGCCAUGCCGCGUGAAGGAAGACGGCCUUAUGGGUUGUAAACUUCUUUACUACGCGAAUAGAGGUUAGUACGAGAUACUAAUAGGAAGGUAGUGUAGUAAAAAGCACCGGCUAACUCCGUG
rnacentral:rRNA from 1 species